AAGUUGACGGGGCCGCACAAGCGGAGACAUGUGGUUUAAUUCGAUGAUACGCGAGGAACCUUACCUGGCUUAAAUGUAGAGUGCAUUUUCUAGAGAUAGGAAUUCCCUUCGGGGCUUUCUACAAGGUGCUGCAUGGUUGUCGUCAGCUCGUGUCGUGAGAUGUUGGGUUAAGUCCCGCAACGAGCGCAACCCCUACGUUUAGUUGCUAACAGGUGAGGCUGAGCACUCUAGACGAACUGCCGUUGACAAAACGGAGGAAGUGGGGAUGGCGUCAAAUCAUCAUGCCCCUUAUGUUCUGGGCUACACACGUGCUACAAUGGCCGGUACAGACGGAGGCGAAGCCGCGAGGCGGAGCAAAUCCGAAAAAGCCGGUCUCAGUUCGGAUUGCAGGCUGCAAUUCGCCUGCAUGAAGUCGGAAUCGCUAGUAAUCGCAGGUCAGCAUACUGCGGUGAAUACGUUCCCGGGCCUU
rnacentral:rRNA from 1 species